rnacentral:misc_RNA from 1 species
GAUGAAGAACGUAGCGAAAUGCUAUAAGUAAUGUGAAUUGCAGAAUUCAGUGAAUCAUCGAAUCUUUGAACGCACAUUGCGCCCCUUGGUAUUCCGAGGGGCAUGCCUGUUCGAGCGUCAUUAUAACCCCUCAAGCUCAGCUUGGUGUUGGGGCCUGCUGCACUGGCAGCCCUUAAAAUCAGUGGCGGCGCCAUCUGGCUCUAAGCGUAGUAAUUCUUCUCGCUAUGGAGUCCUGGUGGAUGCUUGCCAUCAACCCCCAAUUUUUCUAUGGUUGACCUCGGAUCAGGUAGGGAUACCCGCUGAACUUAAGCAUAUCAAUAAGCGGAGGA